rnacentral:tRNA from 1 species
CAUUAAGUAGCUAAAAAGUUACAUAAAGCAUUGGUCUCUUAAACCAUACAUUAGUAUUUAACAAAUACUCUUAAUGA